rnacentral:lncRNA from 10 species
GUAGCCUAGGAGCAAUUGGUUGUAGCAGAUAGCCCAGGUCUGCAGUAGGCUCUACCAUGUGAACUCUAUGAUGUUCGCAUGAUGACAGAAUUGCCUUUGUCACAAUGUAUCCUUGUCAUGAAACAAUGCAUGACUGCGCGUGUUUCAGAUGGUAAGUGCUAAGGAGCCAACGCAUGGGAGGGAGUUAGGGAGUCUUUGGGGCAGGUGUACAGUUUAAAAUCUGGUGUCAAGGAAAAUCUCACUGGGAAGGUGCAUUUGUGGAGUGGAGAGGGAAGAGCAAAAUGCAGAGGACUCGAAUUUGGGUUGUUCCUAGUGUGUGCAGGGACUUGCAUGUUGUCCCGUGUGGAUGUAACAGUAAGCAAAGGAGAGAACAGAAGGACUUGAG